rnacentral:rRNA from 1 species
GAUGAACGCUGGCGGCGUGCCUAAUACAUGCAAGUCGAGCGAAUGGAUUAAGAGCUUGCUCUUAUGAAGUUAGCGGCGGACGGGUGAGUAACACGUGGGUAACCUGCCCAUAAGACUGGGAUAACUCCGGGAAACCGGGGCUAAUACCGGAUAACAUUUUGAACCGCAUGGUUCGAAAUUGAAAGGCGGCUUCGGCUGUCACUUAUGGAUGGACCUGCGUCGCAUUAGCUAGUUGGUGAGGUAACGGCUCACCAAGGCAACGAUGCGUAGCCGACAUGGUGGGUGGAUCAGCCACACUGGGACUGCGACCCGGCCCAGACUCCGACGGGAGGCAGCAUUAGGGAAUCUUCCGAAAUGGGCGAAAGUCUGACGGAGCAACGCCGCGGGAGUGAUGAAGGCUUUCGGGUCGUAAAACUCUGUUGUUAGGGAAGAACAAGUGCUAGUUGAAUAAGCUGGCACCUUGACGGUACCUAACCAGAAAGCCACGGCUAACUACGUGCCAGCAGCCGCCGUAA